UGGUGAAAAGAUAAAGUGGGACUUUAGAAUAGGUUGUGGUAGUGUGGUGGGAAGGUGAAAAAAAUAAUAAUAAUAAUAAUAAUAAUAUGGUGUGGUAGGGAGAUGGCUAAUGGCUGUGUUGGUGGGGAAAAAAUUGGUACGGGGUAUAGGUGAGAGUGGUGGUGAGGGGGAUGUGGAGUAGAUAAGGCUUAUAAUUUAGCGUGAUGGGUCUGUGUGUGUUAAAAAGGUAGUGGUGCGGAGGUCGAUUUCAAAUUUGUGAGGUUAUGGUGUAAAUGUGGGUGAUAAUAUAUCGUUAUGAGAGAGUGAGUGAGUGUGGUAUUGUAGUAUAUAGGAAGGCGGUGAUAGAAGAUAAAGAUGGUGAUAGGUUGAGAUAAGUAGGUGGAGAGGUGGUUGUGUAGCGAAUGGUGAAACUUAGUUUAUGUUUGUGAAUUUGCAGUGUGAAGGAAGGGGAAGGGGUGAUAGGGUUAUCAGGUUAUGUUCGGGUGGUUAAGAUUAUGGAUUAUGAGACGACAGUUAAGGUUGUUAUAAGAGAUGGGGUUGAUAAUAAAACGACAUGAGAGUUAUGAAUAAAGAGUUUUUUUGUUGAGUGGAGAAGGUAGUUAGUAAAUAUGAUAUUAUGUGGAGAUUGAAACAGUUAAAAUCGGUAACUUGUGGCGAGUGUUGUGUAGCGGAUGUGAAGAGGUGAUGGCGGCAUUAGUGAAAUCUGAUGAAGGGGGAUAAUGCGAGUGUGAACAGAAUGAUGAGCAGGGAUAUUGUGACGAGACUGUGUAGUGUUUUUGAGAAAGUGUGUUGUGUGUAGGGUAGAAAAGUAAUAUGUAGGGUAAGAGAAAGAAAAGUGUUUGGAUUGUAGAGAGGAAAUUGUGAGCGGUAAUGGAGAGGGUGAGGUAUGUGUGGACGUAUGUAACUAAUGAAGUGUGUAAGUGGUAUGAUUGACAGGCGGAAUUAAAUAAUAAUAAUAAUAGAGAUUGAAUGAGUGUUGCGAAAACGCCGAGAAAAAAUAUAAAAUACUGUAGCGGUGAAAGGGAGUAUUGCGGACAAUGGAAAAUGAUGCUAGUAAAACGGCGAGAAGAAGAUGAAGUAGGGGCGCGGGAGGCGACAAAGGGAGCGCGGUGAGAGUGGAGAUGACGCUGAAACGUUAACAAGACAGGAAGGAUAGUUUACCCCAGAUAAAGCGAUAAUCGGUGGUAAGAGAUAAGGGGAAAAGGCAAAGGCAUGAAAAAAACAACCGGCAUGUAUAUGCAAAAUAAACAUAACAAAAUAAACCAAUAAGACAAAAGUGUGUAGGUCAUUUCAAAGAGCUCUGCGAAAUGUAGAACUAAAGGCAUAUAACGUUAACCAAGACUUCUCAUCAGGGGGCGAGGUCUAUUGGAGAGUGGAGAUGACGCUGAAACGUUAACAUGACAGGAAGGAUAGUUUACCCCAAAUGAAGCGAUAAUCGGUGGUAAGAGAUAAGAGGAAAAGGCAUAGGCAUGAAGAAAACAACCGGCAUGUAUAUGCAAAAUAAACAUAACAAAAUAAACAAAUAAGACAAAAGUGUGUAGGUCAUUUCAAAGAGCUCUGCGAAAUGUAGAACUAAAGGCAUAUAACGUCAACCAAGACUUCUCAUCAGGGGGCGAGGUCUAUUGAUUGGUCAUAUACGAACCUGGAGAAUAAAGCUGGUAGACUUAGGGGAAAGCUAGGGGAAAAGCGGCGAUGAUGGUGGGAGUAAAAA